rnacentral:rRNA from 1 species
ACACAUGCAGUCGAGGGGUAACAGGGAAUAGUUUACUAUUUUGCUGACGACCGGCGCACGGGUGAGUAACGCGUAUACAAUUUACCUUUUACAGGAGGAUAGCCCAGAGAAAUUUGGAUUAAUACUCCAUGGUAUUACGAAAUCGCAUGGUUUUGUAAUUAAAGUUUCGGCGGUAAAAGAUGAGUAUGCGUCCUAUUAGCUAGUUGGUAAGGUAACGGCUUACCAAGGCGACGAUAGGUAGGGGUCCUGAGAGGGAGAUCCCCCACACUGGUACUGAGACACGGACCAGACUCCUACGGGAGGCAGCAGUGAGGAAUAUUGGUCAAUGGAGGCAACUCUGAACCAGCCAUGCCGCGUGCAGGAAGACUGCCCUAUGGGUUGUAAACUGCUUUUAUACAGGAAGAAACUUACCCACGUGUGGGUAACUGACGGUACUGUACGAAUAAGGACCGGCUAACUCCGUGCCAGCAGCCGCGGUAAUACGGAGGGUCCAAGCGUUAUCCGGAAUCAUUGGGUUUAAAGGGUCCGUAGGCGGGCGAUUAAGUCAGAGGUGAAAUCCCACAGCUCAACUGUGGAACUGCCUUUGAUACUGGUUGUCUUGAGUUACAGUGAAGUAGAUAGAAUAUGUAGUGUAGCGGUGAAAUGCAUAGAUAUUACAUAGAAUACCGAUUGCGAAGGCAGUCUACUAACUGUUAACUGACGCUAAGGGACGAAAGCGUGGGGAGCGAACAGGAUUAGAUACCCUGGUAGUCCACGCCGUAAACGAUGGUCACUAGUUGUUGGGGCUUUUAUGCCUCA